UGCGAAAAUAUUGAUGUGAACACUGUGACCGUUGCUGGGAUUUUGUACUCGCGGCCAACAUGUUCCCUAAAUUGAGAAUUAAAUCACGCAAAGAAUUUUGAAUAUACAGGAUGUUCCAUACUCAUCACCGAUAAUUAAAAUAUUCUUGAGAUCAUCGCAAACUUUAAAUGAUGUUAUAUGUAAUCUAAUCUUUAAACACUUUUCAUUUAAAAACUAUUAUAUAGCAUCGACGUUUUAGAUUUCCGCGGUUCCAAAUGAUCUCGAGAUGCUCGAAUAUGCUGUUAACAAGUUACAUAUUCGGGGCACUGUAUAUAUCAAGACUCGACUUAUCUCUUAUAUAACUUUAUCAAUAAAAGAGAUAUAUAUACCUG